GAUGAACGCUAGCGGCAGGCUUAACACAUGCAAGUCGAGGGGUAGAGGAAGCUUGCUUCCUUGAGACCGGCGCACGGGUGCGUAACGCGUAUGCAACCUACCUUUUACAGAGGGAUAGCCCAGAGAAAUUUGGAUUAAUACCUCAUAGUAUAUAGUCUUCGCAUGUUGACUAUAUUAAAGUUCCAACGGUAAAAGAUGGGCAUGCGUCCUAUUAGCUAGAUGGUAAGGUAACGGCUUACCAUGGCAACGAUAGGUAGGGGUCCUGAGAGGGAGAUCCCCCACACCGGUGCUGAGACACGGACCAGAGUCCGAACGGCGGCAGCAGUGAGGAAGAUUGGAGCAUGGGCGCAAGCCUGAUCGAGCCAUGCCGCGUGCAGGAAGAAGCAUCUAUGGUGUGUAAACUGAUUUUGUACGGGAAGAAACACUCCCUCGUGAGGGAGCUUGACGGUACCGUAAGAAUAAGGAUCGGCUAACUCCGUGCCAGCCGCCGCAGUAAGAC
rnacentral:rRNA from 1 species